UGUGUGUGUGAGUGCUGGAUGAUGGGUGUGUGUGUGAGUGCUGGAUGAUGGGUGUGUGUGUGAGUGCUGGAUGAUGGGUGUGUGUGUGAGUGCUGGAUGAUGGGUGUGUGUGUGAGUGCUGGAUGAUGGGUGUGUGUGUGAGUGCUGGAUGAUGGGUGUGUGAGUGCUGGAUUGUGUGUGUGUGUGUGCUGGAUGAUGGGUGUGUGAGUGCUGGAUGAU